ACGGCACGGGUUAGUUUGCACCGGCGAACUCCGCUCGCGCGUCAGCAAGACUUCUUACAAUUGUCGUCACAUUCCGCUCGCAGGGCAACAUGUAGCCGUACGCGAGCAAAAUCCGAACGUCGAUCUGCGCGCAGUAACGCCUCCUCGCUGUCAUGUAAGGGCUUCAUGUGAACGCAUUACUGUUGACCGAUGGGACACAAACAGAGGGUCACUCUCGGUGUGAGGAGGCAACGUGAAGAGGAUCCGCCGUGUUUACAAGGAACGAAUCGUUUUGAAGAAGAAACAGAGCAAAUAGUGACAGUAGCUACUCUCAGAAAAGUUGAGUUCCAACCGCAGGGGAGCAGGUCGAAACGCUUAUCAUAUCUAACAGGGAACACUGACUGAGUGUUGCGCGUGACUGGGAUCGCGUCUAAAUAAACACCUGCCUCCGAGGACCUUAAGAACUCAAACCUGACAGAAGAUUAUUUACCGAGGAUUAAGCGUCCAUUUGAAUCACUAAAUAAUAAGGAUAUAUCCGCCUGUAUUAAUAAUAGCUCAUCUGGAACUGGGUGAAAAUGAGACAGCGGUUCAAACGCGCGCAGAAUUCACCCGUUUAUUUCCAGUUGUAAGCGCUGCCCUGACCAUCCUUUGGGUGCAUAUCUGUUGUUUUUUCAAACAGAGGUCUGUCACCCCGGAGCGGAGCAUCCGGACAGUUGCAUCUGGAGCAAAGGAGCGCUGUGCUGUUUGAAGGUUUCUGCAGAAUAACACUGGAGCAAUGAGUCGCAUCCCCUAUCCAGAGGUGUUGACCAUCUGGAUUACGCUAAUCUCCAGGGUAACAGCUGACCUGACCUGCGACGCUCUGCUCCUGCUCUCCACAAAUCUUACAGCUCGCACUUUGAUCCUGUGGAAUCAGACGUCAAGUCCCACCAAUUCUACAGGUCAGUU